CGGGGUUUCAUCAUAUUGACCAGGCGGGUCUCGAACUCCUGACCUCAAGCAAUCUGCCUGCCUCAGCCUCCCAAAGUGCUGGGAUUACAGGCGUGAGCCACCGUGCCCGGCUCAGGAGUGAUCCUAAUGACAGUGACUACUUCUAGAGGGAUCAAGUGGAUGAACCGGAGUGACUUAUGGAUUGUGACAGGCCUUUCAUGGAAGUUGCCAUGGUUCUGCAUCCCUAAACCAAUGAGACACAAUGGCAAGUUUCUCUUCCUACAUCUAUUUCAACCACCAGCUUAACUCCCCUUCCUGAGUGCAGCUAAAGCUGUGGCCAUCAGGCAGGUGAAUCUUGGUGCCUCCUGUUCAACCAACAGGAAUGACUGAAGCAGGAUGGGGGUGGGACCAGCAGUAAGAAGCCCAGAGCAAUGACCAGAGCUCCCUUUCUGGGGAGAGCUGGGCUGGAGAAAAUCUAUGCACUGCUGAUCUCCUAAGGAGAGAGCUUCAAGGGUGAAAAGAUGGUGUCCCACAGGCCUGAGGCUGCACAGAUCUAGCUUUUGCCAUUGAGGACAGCAGGGACAGUAAAGCUUCCCAGAUCCCCUUUCAACCUGCCAGCUGGCAUGUCACCUACCAUAGAGGAAGCCAAUCCUAGACCUUGUACUAAUUGAGAGAUUGCAAAAGUAUCCUGUUAGCUGGGUCUGGACACCAGUGAUAAAUAGACUCAUGAGUGAGCUAAGGAAAGGAACUGGCCCAUCUAAAAGGAACCGGCCCAAGGAAAAGCAGGAAUCUAUGAAGGCAUUCAAUAACUUGGACCAAAAAGGAACAAGAAGGUAAAAUUGAAUACUUGGGUGAUGGUUACACUAAAAACCUAGAUUUCCCCACUACAAGAUAUAUCCAUGUAACAAAACUGCACUUGUA
rnacentral:lncRNA from 1 species